CCUACGGGUGGCUGCAGUGAGGAAUAUUGGUCAAUGGGCGCGCGCCUGAACCAGCCAAGUAGCGUGAAGGAUGACUGCCCUACGGGUUGUAAACUUCUUUUAUCAAGGAAUAAAGUGAGGCACGUGUGCCUUUUUGUAUGUACUUUAUGAAAAAGGCACGGCUAACUCCGUGCCAGCAGCCGCCGUAAUUCGGAGGAUCCGAGCGUUAUCCGGAUUUAUUGGGUUUAAAGGGAGCGGAGAUGGGUUGUUAAGUCAGUCGUGAAAGUUUGCGGCUCAACCGUCAAAUUGCAAUUGAUACUGGCAGUCUUGAGUACAGGUGAGGUAGGCGGAAUGCGUGGUGUAGCGGUGAAAUGCUUAGAUAUCACGCAGAACUCCGAUUGCGAAGGCAGCUUACUAAACUGCCACUGACAUUGAUGCUCGAAAGUGUGGGUAUCAAACAGGAUUAGAUACCCUGGUAGUC
rnacentral:rRNA from 1 species